CCGGGGGGGGGGGGUAAAAUAGGCAAGCUGAGCGGACAGAUGGGAGCUUGCUCCUGAUGUUGCGGCGGAGGACGGGAGCGUGGGUACCUGCCUGUAGACUGGGAUAACCGGGAAACCGGGGCUAAUACCGGAUGGUUGUUUGAACCGCAUGGUUCAGACAUAAAAGGUGGCUUCGGCCUACCACUUACAGAUGGACCCGCGGCGCAUUAGCUAGUUGGUGAGGUAACGGCUCACCAAGGCGACGAUGCGUAGCCGACCUGAGAGGGUGAUCGGCCACACUGGGACUGAGACACGGCCCAGACUCCUACGGGAGGCAGCAGUAGGGAAUCUUCCGCAAUGGACGAAAGUCUGACGGAGCAACGCCGCGUGAGUGAUGAAGGUUUUCGGAUCGUAAAGCUCUGUUGUUAGGGAAGAACAAGUGCCGUUCAAAUAGGGCGGCACCUUGACGGUACCUAACCAGAAAGCCACGGCUAACUACGUGCCAGCAGCCGCGGUAAUACGUAGGUGGCAAGCGUUGUCCGGAAUUAUUGGGCGUAAAGGGCUCGCAGGCGGUUUCUUAAGUCUGAUGUGAAAGCCCCCGGCUCAACCGGGGAGGGUCAUUGGAAACUGGGGAACUUGAGUGCAGAAGAGGAGAGUGGAAUUCCACGUGUAGCGGUGAAAUGCGUAGAGAUGUGGAGGAACACCAGUGGCGAAGGCGACUCUCUGGUCUGUAACUGACGCCUGAGGAGCGAAAGCGUGGGGAGCGAACAGGAUUAGAUACCCUGGUAGUCCCACGCCGUAAAACGAUGAGUGCUAAAGUGUUAGGGGGGUUUUCCGCCCCCUUUAGUGCCUGGCAGCCUAUACGCCAUUUAA
rnacentral:rRNA from 1 species